AUGCUCGCUUUGGCAGCACAUAUACAAAAACUGGAAUGAUGCAGAGAAGAUUAGUGUGGCCCCCGUGCAAGGAUCGCAUGUAAAUUCACAAAGCAUUCCAGAUAUAA
rnacentral:snRNA from 1 species